rnacentral:lncRNA from 1 species
UUUUUUUGGUGUUUCUCUGAUUAAAUAGAUACUUAUGUACCUAGAAAUGAUUUUUGGAAAAAAUAAAUAGCAAACUACGAGGCAGCUGCAGUUCAAAUUUGACCCGCUUCCAGCUGAAUCGGCGUAAAUUUGUCUUUUUCACGAGAGGUGGAUCAAAACUUUUUACACCCAACCAUUUUAUCAAUUGUGCAUUAAAUAUGUCCUAGUAUUUUAGAAAAAUGAUUUGGUCCAAUUUUGCAACAAUUAUUUGGGAGGUCCUUCACAAAAAAACCUCCUUUUGGGCACUCGAAAAAUGGAAAAUGGUUUUUUCGUCCAAAGAAAAUGAAAACUUCCUUAGGCAACAUUGUUUUGCAUUCCAAUAUGCACCCUUGUGCACAAUAUGAGAUCAUUUCUUUUAAUUUUUCAUGUGAAAAAGUAGAAAAUGACCCCCCACCUAAAAACUCAUUUCUCAUAACAAUUUUUAAAAGAUAUUUGUCUUAUUCCAAUUCCAAGUUUGUUAGUUUUCCUAAAAACUAUGUCACAUUUGGUGACACAAUGAGAAUGUUUCUUUUUGAAUUUCUCAUAUCAUAAAAUUGUUUCUAUGAUUCAACACUUUUUUUUGAAAAAAUAUGGUUCAACACCUUAUUUUUAGUCGAUUGCGACCAAUUUAGAAGGUCAUAACGUGUACUGGAUUCUGAUUGGUCCAUGGACAUGUCACGCGGAUCGUGCUCAAACGCCGUCGGAUGCUCUCGGAUCCGACAGCAGCCCUUUCUCCCUCACCCCCUCCCCCUCUUUGUCUCAAAAAAAAGAAAAAAGUAAACUCCCUCACCCUCUCACCCCACGAACCCUAGCGCUCCCUCUCCCUCACGCGCUCCCUCUCCCCUCGUCUCCCACAUCGCCGCCGCCACCCCGCCGAUCCCAUCCCUCCCUAAUUCAGAUCCGACCCCAUUGCCCGCGCCCACGCGCCACUAUGUGCUCCUCCUCGCCUCCCGGAGGACGUCCGCCGCUCUUCCUUCGCCCGUCCCGGAGGCCUCAGUUGGCGCCCUUCGCCGCAGGGCCGCCGCGCUCGUCCCUCCCGCCGCAGGGGACAACAUCCGGCAGCGCCUGUGCCCGUAGCUGCCGGCCAACUACUUCGGCAACGCCAUCGUGCGGGACCUCGUGACGGUGCGCGUGGGGGACGUGCUAUCGCAGCCGCUGGGGUUCGUGGUGGAGCGGAUCAAGCGCGCGGUGGCGCGGGUGGACGACGCGUUCGUGUGCUCCGUCAUCGACUACCUGGAGCUGGAGUCUAUUGGUCCCCCUUCGUCUCAAGGUAGGAACUCCCCGAUUCGACCCCCCUCUCUCUGGAUUUGAUUUGGCGCUGCUUGACGAACCUUCUGUUGGUGCUACGCAGUGCGUGGCCAUGGCUACAUGCCUUCGGUCGCUGGCCACGGGGCUUCUCCAGCCGGCGCGUCCUCUCAGCGAGCGGAUCUUGCACCUCACGCCGAUGGUCUCCGUCGUCCUGGCGGAGGACUGCUACCUUCAGGGCCACUAUGGGUGGUCCCUUCCUUGCUCCAGGACGGCGGGACCGGGCAGGACAAGCACAUCACGUCCGACGUCACCCAGGCAAGCCUCGACCUCUUCCCCUGUACAUCGACUCUGACGGAGACUGAGGUGAGCUGGAUUAAGGGGAGGCUCAUGUGGAGCGGUUGAUUUGAUUCAGCUGAUAGGGUGGACGCCGCUGAUCGAGCUGAGGCAGAUCGCCGGGAAGGAGGGGGUGGGUGCCCGCAUCGUCGGCAAGAUCGAGGCCUACUAGCCCCUCUGCUCCGUCAAGGACCGCAGCGCUCUUACGUACGGUCAGCUCGUUCUAACCAGGCUCGUUCACUUUUACAAAUCUUGGGAUGGUAUCAGUUUAUAGAGCUAGUUUCAUUUCUGCUAGUUGAGCAAUUUGUGAAAAGUCAACGGGGGCUAAAAGGAGCUAAAUUUCCACUUAUGCUAAGAUUAAGGCUUCUUGUAAAGUGUAAACCAUCAUUUUCAUUGUUUGGCUGUAGGGAUUGGUGUGAUGAGGUGGUGAUUUCAAGUAUAUUUUGUUGCACUUCCCAGAAUUUAUUUUGCAACUGUUGGGAAUUAUGAACUUAUGUUGUGCUAUUUCUUCCUGUUUUCUUCAGGAUGAUCGAGGAUGCUGAAGAGAAAGGGCUGAUUUCACCAGGUGUCACGACUCUAGUCGAGCCGACCAGUGGUAAUUUGGGCCUGGGAUUGGUUCUGAUUGCCCUAAGCAAAGGAUAUAGGUUCGUCGCGGUGAUGCCGGGCCAAUACUCGCUUGAUAAGCAGAUCUUGUUGAGAUACAUGGGUGCUGAGUUGUUCAUAACUGGUGAGAUAGAUAGAUAGCAUCAGCAUAGUUGCUUCCUGGCUCAAGGAAGCACAGAUGUUUGCUUGCUUGAUUAGGUCUGAUUGAUUUUCCUUGCAACCGCUGUGAUUUGUAUCUGUAACCUUGUUUCUUUUGUGUAACCACAUGACAGAUCCAACACUUGGGUUCCCAGGAAUAACCGACAAGGUCGAACAGCUCAAGAAAGAAUUACCAAACGUACACGUUCUUAAUCAGUUCUCGAAUCCAGCAAAUCCUGAUGCACACAUCAGAUGGACUGGUACUAGUUUUCCCAUUGUGAAGGAAGGACACGGCGGAAUGUAAGCACAAUCCUUGAGCUUAAUUAUAGGCUCUUGUGCAGCAGCAACCGUUGAUUUCAAUUUCAGCUGAUCAAUCAUCUGUCCUUGUGCAGCACAAGGGUUCCAUGGGGAUACAACAGCAGCAGGACGACCAUGACUCCAUCAAUUGCAAGCUCCAGGUACUAAUCCCACUCAGCUCUCUCCUGUAGCGCAUCCAUUACUCAUACCCUUGCUGCCCCCAAAUCUUGAGCGAUGAGAUAACGUCAUGGAGAGUGGGAUUUUUUGUUUCCUAGCUUAGCAAUUGAGUUAAAGCAAUGUAAUAUAAGUAUGAGCACUCGGCUAUGGUACAACUGUUUGCAUAUUUGUUUUGUAUUUUUUAUAAAUGAUGAUAGUUUGUGCAAGAUGUUCACAUGUUAAUUUUUGUUGACUAAAAUCUCUUAUGCCCUUGACUUAGCUUGACCCAGAACAGAUGCAUACUAACCUUCACCUUGUUCUUUCUCUCGUAGACUCGAAGGAGGCUGUAUGCAAGGCACCAAGGUGCAUGGUGCUCGCAAGCGACGAACGGAGGCUGUUCGACAUCGGCUACACAAACCACUAUUGUGAGCUGUUGGGGAACGCAGUAAUUUAAAAAAAAAAUCCUACGCACACGCAAGAUCAUGGUGAUGCACAACAACGAGAGGGGAGAGUGUUGUCUACGUACCAACGCAGACCGACUGCGGAAGCGAUCACACAACAUAGAGGAAGUAGUCGUACGUCUUCCCGAUCCGACCGAUCCAAGCACCGUUACUCCGGCACCUCUGAGUUCUUAGCACACGUAUAGCUCGAUGACGAUCCCCGGGCUUCGAUCCAGCAAAGCGUCGGGGAAGAGUUCCGUCGGCACGACGGCGUGGUGACGAUCUUGAUGUUCUACCGACGCAGGGCUUCGCCUAAGCACUACAACGAUAUGAUCGAGGUGGAAUAUAGUGGCAGGGGGCACCGCACACGGCUAAGGAACGAUCUCAAGGAUCAACUUGUGUGUCUAGAGGUGCCCCCUGCCCCUGUAUAUAAAGGAGCAAGGGGGGAGAGGUGCGGCCAGCCUUGGGGCGCGCCAGGAGGAGUCCUACUCCUAUUAUUUAGGUCUAAUAUUAAUCCCGAAGGUAGAGGUAGAGGUAGCGUGCCGACCGCGAUCACAUCGACUUUUGGAACCGUUUCCCACGCGCAUCGUCACCUCGUCCUUCGCCAGUGUUCGCUUAAUCCGUAGUCCCUGUUUCGAGUUGCAAAUAUUAGCAACAGAACUAGUAUCAAAUACCCAGGUGCUACUGCGAGCUCUAGUAAGGUACACAUCAAUAACAUGUAUAUCACAUAUACCUUUGUUCACCUUGCCAUCCUUCUUAUCCGCCAAAUACUUGGGGCAGUUCCGCUUCCAGUGACCAGUCUGCUUGCAGUAGAAGCACUCAGUUUCAGGCUUAUGUCCAGACUUGGGUUUCUUCUCCUGAGCAGCAACUUGCUUGCCGUUCUUCUUGAAGUUCCCCUUCUUAUUCCCUUUGCUCUUUUUCUUGAAACUAGUGGUCUUGUUAACCAUCAACACUUGAUGCUCCUUUUUGAUUUCUACCUCCGCAGCUUUCAGCAUUGCGAAGAGCUCGGGAAUAGUCUUGUUCAUCCCUUGCAUAUUAUAGUUCAUCACGAAGCUCUUGUAGCUUGGUGGCAGUGAUUGGAGAAUUCUGUCAAUGACGCAAUCAUCUAGAAGAUUAACUCCCAUGUGAAUCAAGUGAUUGUUAUACCCAGACAUUUUGAGUAUAUGCUCACCGACAGAACUGUUCUCCUCCAUCUUGCAGCUAUAGAACUUAUUGGAGACUUCAUAUCUCUCAAUCCGAGCAUUUGCUUGAAAUAUUAACUUCAACUCCUGGAACAUCUCAUAUGCUCCAUGACGUUCAAAACGUCGUUGAAGUCCCGAUUCUAAGCCGUAAAGCAUGGCACACUGAACUAUCGAGUAGUCAUCAGCUUUGCUCUGCUAGACGUUCAUAACAUCUGGUGUUGCUCCAGCAGCAGGCCUGGCACCCAGCGGUGCUUCCAGGACGUAAUUCUUCUGUGCAGCAAUGAGGAUAAUCCUCAAGUUACGGACCUAGUCUGUGUAAUUGCUACCAUCAUCUUUCAACUUUGCUUUCUCAAGGAACGCAUUAAAAUUCAACGGAACAACAGCACGAGCCAUCUAUCUACAAUCAACAUAAACAAGCAAGAUACUAUCAGGUACUAAGUUCAUGAUAAGUUUAAGUUCAAUUAAUUAAAUUACUUAAGAACUCCCACUUAGAUAGACAUCCCUCUAAUCCUCUAAGUGAUUACAUGAUCCAAAUCAACUAAACCAUAACCGAUCAUCACGUGAGAUGGAGUAGUUUUCAAUGGUGAACAUCGUUAUGUUGAUCAUAUCUACUAUAUGAUUCACACUCGACCUUUCAGUCUCCGUGUUCCGAGGCCAUAUCUGCAUAUGCUAGGCUCGUCAAGUUUAACCUGAGUAUUCUGCAUGUGCAAAAAUGGCUUGCACCCGUUGUAGAUGGACGUAGAGCUUAUCACACCCAAUCAUCACGUGGUGUCUGGGCACGACGAACUUUGGCAACGGUGCAUACUCAGGGAGAACACUUCUUGAUAAUUUAGUGAGAGAUCAUCUUAUAAUGCUACCAUCAAUCAAAGCAAGACAAGAUGCAUAAAAAGAUAAACAUCACAUGCAAUCAAUAUAAGGGAUAUGAUAUGGCCAUCAUCAUCUUGUGCUUGUGGUCUCCAUCUCCGAAGCACCGUCAUGAUCACCAUCGUCACCGGCGCGACACCUUGAUCUCCAUCGUAGCAUCGUUGUCGUCUCGCCAAUCUUAUGCUUCCACGACUAUCACUACCACUUAGUAAUAAAUUAAAGCAUUACAUCGCGAUUGCAUUGCAUACAAUAAAGCGACAACCAUAUGGCUCCUGCCAGUUGCCGAUAACUCGGUUACAAAACAUGAUCAUCUCAUACAAUAAAAUUUAGCAUCAUACCUUGACCAUAUCACAUCACAACAUGCCCUCCAAAAACAAGUUAGACGUCCUCUACUUUGUUGUUGCAAGUUUUACGUGACUGCUACGGGCUUUAAGCAAGAACCAAUCUCACCUACGCAUCAAAACCACAACGAUAGUUUGUCAAAUAGACUCCGUUUUAACCUUCUCAAGGACCGGGCGUAGCCACACUCGGUUCAACUAAAGUUGGAGAGACAGUCGCCCGCAAGCCAUCUAUGUGCAAAGCACGUCGAGGGAACCGGUCUCGCGUAAGUGUACGCGUAAUGUUGGUCCGGGUCGUCUCGUCCAACAAUACCGCUGAACCAAAGUAUGACAUGCUGGUAGGCAGUAUGACUUAUAUCGCCCACAACUCACUUGUGUUCUACUCGUGCAAAUAACAUCAAACCAUAAAACCUAGGCUCGGAUGCCACUGUUGGGGAACGCAGUAAUUUCAAAAAAUUUCCUACGCACACGCAAGAUCAUGGUGAUGCACAACAACGAGAGGGGAGAGUGUUGUCUACGUACCAACGCAGACCGACUGCGGAAGUGAUCACACAACGUAGAGGAAGUAGUCGUACGUCUUCCCAAUCCAACCGAUCCAAGCACCGUUACUCCGGCACCUCCGACAUCUUAGCACACGUACAGCUCGAUGACGAUCCCCGGGCUUCGAUCCAGCAAAGCGUCGGGGAAGAGUUCCGUCAGCACGACGGCGUGGUGACGAUCUUGAUGUUCUACCGACGCAGGGCUUCGCCUAAGCACUACAACGAUAUGAUCGAGGUGGAAUAUAGUGGCAGGGGGCACCGCACACGGCUAAGGAACGAUCUCAAGGAUCAACUUGUGUGUCUAGAGGUGCCCCCUGCCCCUGUAUAUAAAGGAGCAAGGGGGGAGAGGUGCGGCCAGCCUUGGGGCGCGCCAGGAGGAGUCCUACUCCUAUCGGGAGUAGGACUCCCCCCCCCAAAUCCUAGUUGGAAUAGGAUUCAUCAAGGGGGAAAGAGAGAGAGGGGGGCUAGCCACCUCUCCUAGUCCUAAUAGGACUAGGGGAGGGGGGAGGCGCGCGGCCACCAUGGGCUGCCCCCUUCUCCUUUCCACUAAGGCCCACUAUAGCCCAUAUGAUUCCCGGGGGGUUCCGGUAACCUCCCGGUACUCCGGUAAAAUCCCGAUUUCACCCGGAACACUUCCGAUGUCCAAACAUAGGCUUCCAAUAUAUCAAUCUUUAUGUCUCGACCAUUUUGAGACUCCUCGUCAUGUCCGUGAUCACACCCGGGAGUCCGAACAACCUUCGGUACAUCAAAAUGCAUAAACUCAUAAUAACUGUCAUCGUAACGUUAAGCGUGCGGACCCUACGGUUCGAGAACAAUGUAGACAUGACUGAGACACAUCUCCGGUCAAUAACCAAUAGCGGGACCUGGAUGCCCAUAUUGGUUCCUACAUAUUCUACGAAGAUCUUUAUCGCUCAGACCGCAUAACAACAUAUGUUGUUCCCUUUGUCAUCGGUAUGUUACUUGCCCGAGAUUCGAUCGUCGGUAUCCAAUACCUAGUUCAAUCUCGUUACCGGUAAGUCUCUUUACUCGUUCCGUAAUACAUCAUCCCGCAACUAACUCAUUAGUUGCAAUGCUUGCAAGGCUUAAGUGAUGUGCAUUACCGAGAGGGCCCAGAGAUACCUCUCCGACAAUCGGAGUGACAAAUCCUAUUCUCAAAAUAUGCCAACCCAACAUCUACCAUUGGAGACACCUGUAGUACUCCUUUAUAAUCACCCAGUUACGUUGUGACGUUUGGUAGCACCCAAAGUGUUCCUCCGGCAAACGGGAGUUGCAUAAUCUCAUAGUUAUAGGAACAUGUAUAAGUCAUGAAGAAAGCAAUAGCAACAUACUAAACGAUCGGGUGCUAAGCUAAUGGAAUGGGUCAUGUCAAUCAGAUCAUUCAACUAAUGAUGUGACCUCGUUAAUCAAAUAACAACUCUUUGCUCAUGGUUAGGAAACAUAACCAUCUUUGAUUAACGAGCUAGUCUAGUAGAGGCAUACUAGUGACACUCUGUUUGUCUAUGUAUUCACACAUGUAUUAUGUUUCCGGUUAAUACAAUUCUAGCAUGAAUAAUAAACAUUUAUCAUGAUAUAAGGAAAUAAAUGAUAACUUUAUUAUUGCCUCUAGGGCAUAUGUCCUUGGUGAGCUCCUCCCUUUGCUAUGAUACAAUCAUGCUCUGUUUCAUGGGUUAGUUAGGAUUUCGAUGCUUUUUGCGCCGUGGUUGAGUCCUUGCCGAGUGUUGUGUCGAUGAUCAACUACUGGUGCCUAAUCUGGCUAUUUUAUUUGCUGCUGGUAAUUAGUAGUAUUAGAGUGCCGCUGGUUUAUUAGGAUGUGGCUGGAACCAUUGGAUGACUUCCUGUACAUGUUAUACAGAAUUAGUACUUGUCCCAUUUUUUGUUUCCAUGCUGGAUAUGUUAUGGUUCAAGUGUCGAUGAUGUCUAGUAGAUAGUUGGCUAGUUAUUUACCUGCUGCUGAUUGAUGCUCUUGUGGUUAGCAUUAUACUCCUGGAAUCAUAUUAUAUUAUAUUUAGUGUUCUUGUGGUUCUGUGAAGAUGCAUCACAAACAUCUAGGUCAUUGAAGUUGGCUGAAUCUGUUGAUUUAUCAUAUAUUUGGCCCAUAAAUCUACAUUUCUAUGAGAUCUCUUUCAAUAGUCUGUACACUAAACCUGGAGGUUUGCAAAUCUACUCCAGGAAUAAUAGCGACUCUAAUGCUGGUAGCCUAUGUGUUCACUCUUUUACAGGAGCUCCAGGUCUAUGAAAUUUGAAGUUCGAAGCUGUAUAGCCCUACUCAGCAAAGAGCCGUAUAGACUGUAAAUAUUGUAAUAUUGCAAUAGUAGGCAUAUUUGGGUUGUAAUACACUAUGUACAGAUUGUGGUAGACUUAGUUGUAUUUGGUAAACUAUAUUUGUACGACUUAGUUGUAUUUGGUGAACUAUAUUUGUAUUGUUCCGUCUGAAAUAUUGACUAUGUAUGCGAUUUGAAAACGUGUGGAAUGGAAACCUAACUCGUGGGACCCACUUAUGAAAAUAAUUUGAGCAGUUUUGAAAUUUUUGUCAAGUGGGCCCAAUGUGUGAGAUGAUGACAAGUGGGACCAGCUCCAAAAUAUAAUGGCCCAAACAAUGUUAAAAGGCCCCGGCCCAAAAAUAAAUAAAAGGCUGAAAUGGGCUUGGCCCGCUUAACUUACAGAAAAAAUAAAUAUUAAAAAGGCUGAAUUAAUGGGCUCGGCCCAUGUAAAACACCCAAUUGGACCGGGCUGAAUCUUGUGCCACGUCAGAUUGCCACGUUGGAUGCCUACGUGGCCUGGAGAGGUUGCUAGUGACCAAAACGCCAUAGUGGAUGUAUUUUGGUCAUAAACGUUGCGACCAUUCCAGAAGAAAGGUCGCUAUAGUCAGUUUACGACGGCCAGCUUUUGACCUUAUGUUUUUGGUCACAAAAAGGUCAAAAAUGGAAAUUUGUGACCAUUCAGUGACCAAUAGUGGUGGUCACAAGUUGACAUAUUUCUUGUAGUGUAAGUCAUACUGCCUACCAGCAUGUCAUACUUUGGUUCGGCGGUAUUGUUGGAUGAAGCGGCCCGGACCGACAUUACGCAUACGCUUACGCGAGACUGGUUCUACCGCCGUGCUUUGCACACAGGUGGCUGCCGGGUGUCAGUUUCUCCAACUUUAGUUGAACCGAGUGUGGCUACGCCCGGUCCUUGCGAAGGUUAAAACGGCAUCAACUUGACAAACUAUCGUUGUGGUUUUUGAUGCAUAGGUAAGAUUGGUUCUUGCUUAAAGCCCGUAGCAGCCACGUAAAACUUGCAACAACAAAGUAGAGGACGUCUAACUUGUUUUUGCAGGGCAUGUUGUGAUGUGAUAUGGUCAAGACAUGAUGCUAAAUUUUAUUGUAUGAGAUGAUCAUGUUUUGUAACCGAGUUAUCGGCAACUGGCAGGAGCCAUAUGGUUGUCGCUUUAUUGUAUGCAAUGCAAUCGCGAUGUAAUGCUUUACUUUAUCACUAAGCGGUAGCGAUAGUCAUGGAAGCAUAAGAUUGGCGAGACGACAACGAUGCUAUCAUGGAGAUCAAGGUGUCGCGCCGGUGACGAUGGUGAUCAUGACGGUGCUUCGGAGAUGGAGAUCACAAGCACAAGAUGAUGAUGGCCAUAUCAUAUCACUUAUAUUGAUUGCAUGUGAUGUUUAUCUUUUAUGCAUCUUAUCUUGCUUUGAUUGACGGUACCAUUAUAAGAUGAUCUCUCACUAAAUUAUCAAGAAGUGUUCUCCCUGAGUAUGCACCAUUGCCAAAGUUCGUCGUGCCCAGACACCACGUGAUGAUCGGGUGUGAUAAGCUCUACGUCCAUCUACAACGGGUGCAAGCCAGUUUUGCACACGCAGAAUACUCAGGUUAAACUUGACGAGCCUAGCAUAUGCAGAUAUGGCCUCGGAACACGGAGACCGAAAGGUUGAGCGUGAAUCAUAUAGUAGAUAUGAUCAACAUAAUGAUGUUCACCAUUGAAAGCUAAUCCAUUUCACGUGAUGAUCGGUUAUGGUUUAGUUGAUUUGGAUCACGUGAUCACUUAGAGGAUUAGAGGGAUGUCUAUCUAAGUGGGAGUUCUUAAGUAAUAUGAUUAAUUGAACUUAAAUUUAUCAUGAACUUAGUACCUGAUAGUAUCUUGCUUAUGUAUGUUUGAUUGUAGAUAGAUGGCCCGUGCUAUUGUUCCGUUGAAUUUUAAUGCGUUCCUUGAGAAAGCAAAGUUGAAAGAUGAUGGUAGCAAUUACACGGACUGGGUCCGUAACUUGAGGAUUAUCCUCAUUGCUGCACAGAAGAAUUACGUCCUGGAAGCACCGCUGAGUGCCAGGCCUGCUGCUGGAGCAACACCAGAUGUUAUGAACGUCUAGCAGAGCAAAGCUGAUGACUACUCGAUAGUUCAGUGUGCCAUGCUUUACGGCUUAGAAUCGGGACUUCAACGAUGUUUUGAACGUCAUGGAGCAUAUGAGAUGUUCCAGGAGUUGAAGUUAAUAUUUCAAGCAAAUGCCCGGAUUGAGAGAUAUGAAGUCUCCAAUAAGUUCUAUAGCUGCAAGAUGGAGGAGAACAGUUCUGUCAGUGAGCAUAUACUCAAAAUGUCUGGGUAUAAUAAUCACUUGAUUCAGAUGGGAGUUAAUCUUCCAGAUGAUUGCGUCAUUGACAGAAUUCUCCAAUCACUGCCACCAAGCUACAAGAGCUUCGUGAUGAACUAUAAUAUGCAAGGGAUGAACAAGACUAUUCCCGAGCUCUUCGCAAUGCUGAAAGCUGCGGAGGUAGAAAUCAAAAAGGAGCAUCAAGUGUUGAUGGUCAACAAGACCACUAGUUUCAAGAAAAAGGGCAAAGGGAAGAAGAAGGGGAACUUCAAGAAGAACGGCAAGCAAGUUGCUGCUCAAGAGAAGAAACCCAAGUCUGGACCUAAGCCUGAAACUGAGUGCUUCUACUGCAAGCAGACUGGUCACUGGAAGCGGAACUGCCCCAAGUAUUUGGCGGAUAAGAAGGAUGGCAAGGUGAACAAAGGUAUAUGUGAUAUACAUGUUAUUGAUGUGUACCUUACUAGAGCUCGCAGUAGCACCUGGGUAUUUGAUACUGGUUCUGUUGCUAAUAUUUGCAACUCGAAAUAGGGACUAUGGAUUAGGCGAACACUGGCAAAGGACGAGGUGACGAUGCGCGUGGGAAACGGUUCCAAAGUCGAUGUGAUCGCGGUCGGCACGCUACCUCUAUAUCUACCUUCGGGAUUAGUAUUAGACCUAAAUAAUUGUUAUUUGGUGCCAGCGUUAAGCAUGAACAUUAUAUCUAGAUCUUGUUUGAUGCGAGACGGUUAUUCAUUUAAAUCAGAGAAUAAUGGUUGUUCUAUUUAUAUGAGUAACAUCUUUUAUGGUCAUGCACCCUUGAAAAGUGGUCUAUUUCUGAUGAAUCUCGACAGUAGUGAUACACAUAUUCAUAAUGUUGAAACCAAAAGAUGCAGAGUUGAUAAUAAUAGUGCAACUUAUUUGUGGCACUGCCAUUUAGGUCAUACCGGUGUAAAGCGCAUGAAGAAACUCCAUACUGAUGGACUUUUGGAACCACUUGAUUAUGAAUUUACUUGGUACUUGCAAACCGUGCCUCAUGGGCAAGAUGACUAAAACACCGUUCUCCGGUACUAUGGAGAGAGCAACAGAUUUGUUGGAAAUCAUACAUACCGAUGUAUGUGGUCCGAUGAAUAUUGAGGCUCGUGGCGGAUAUCAUUAUUUUCUCACCUUCACGGAUGAUUUGAGCAGAUAUGGGUAUAUCUACUUAAUGAAACACAAGUCUGAAACAUUUGAAAAGUUCAAAGAAUUUCAGAGUGAAGUUGAAAAUCAUCGUAACAAGAAAAUAAAGUUUCUAUGAUCUGAUCGUGGAGGAGAAUAUUUGAGUUACGAGUUUGGUGUACAUCUGAAACAAUGCGGAAUAGUUUCGCAACUCAUGCCACCCGGAACAUUACAGCGUAAUGGUGUGUCCGAACGUAGUAAUCGUACUUUACUAGAUAUGGUGCGUUCUAUGAUGUCUCUUACUGAUUUACCGCAAUCGUUUUGGGGUUAUGCUUUAGAGACGGCCGCAUUCACGUUAAAUAGGGCACCAUCAAAAUCAGUUGAGACGACGCCUUAUGAACUAUGGUUUGGCAAAAAACCAAAGUUGCCGUUUCUUAAAGUUUGGGGCUGCGAUGCUUAUGUGAAAAAGCUUCAACCUGAUAAGCUCGAACCCAAAUCGGAGAAAUGUGUCUUCAUAGGUUACCCAAAGAAGACUGUUGGGUACACCUUCUAUCACAGAUCCGAAGGCAAGACAUUCAUUGCUAAGAAUGGAUCCUUUCUAGAGAAGGAGUUUCUCUCGAAAGAAGUGAGUGGGCGGAAAGUAGAACUUGACGAGGUAACUGUACCUGCUCCCUUAUUGGAAAGUAGUACAUCACAGAAAACUAUUUCUGCGACACCUACACCAGCAAGUGAGGAAGCUAAUGAUAAUGAUCAUGAAACUUCAGGACAAGAUACUACUGAACCUCGUAGAUCAACCAGAGUGAGAUCCGCACCAGAGUGGUACGGUAAUCCUGUUCUGGAAAUCAUGCUGCUAGAUCAUGAUGAACCUACGAACUAUGAAGAAGCGAUGGUGAGCCCAGAUUCCGCAAAAUGGCUUGAAGCCAUGAAAUCUGAGAUGGGAUCCAUGUAUGAGAACAAAGUAUGGACUUUGGUUGACUUGCCCGAUGAUCGGGAAGCAAUUGAGAAUAAAUGGAUCUUCAAGAAGAAGACUGACGCUGACGGUAAUGUUACUGUCUACAAAGCUCGACUUGUUGCAAAAGGUUUUCGACAAGUUCAAGGGGUUGACUACGAUGAGACCUUCUCACCCGUAGCGAUGCUUAAGUCCGUCUGAAUCAUGUUAGCAAUUGCCGCAUUUUAUGAUUAUGAAAUUUGGCAGAUGGAUGUCAAAACUGCAUUCCUGAAUGGAUUUCUGGAAGAAGAAUUGUAUAUGAUGCAACCGGAAGGUUUUGUCGAUCCAAAGGGAGCUAACAAAGUGUGCAAGCUCCGGCGAUCCAUUUAUGGACUGGUGCAAGCCUCUCGGAGUUGGAAUAAACGCUUUGAUAGUGUGAUCAAAGCAUUUGGUUUUGUACAGACUUUCUGAGAAGCCUGUAUUUACAAGAAAGUGAGUGGGAUCUCUGUAGCAUUUCUGAUAUUAUAUGUGGAUGACAUAUUACUGAUGGGAAAUGAUAUAGAAUUUUUGGAUAGCAUAAAGGGAUACUUGAAUAAGAGUUUUUCAAUGAAAGACCUCGGUGAAGCUGCUUACAUAUUAGGCAUAAAGAUCUAUAGAGAUAGAUCAAGACGAUUAAUUGGACUUUCACAAAGCACAUACCUUGACAAGAUUUUGAAGAAGUUCAAAAUGGAUCAAGCAAAGAAAGGGUUCUUGCCUGUGUUACAAGGUGUGAAGUUGAGUCAGACUCAAUGCCCGACCACUGCAGAAGAUAGAGAGAAAAUGAAAGAUGUUCCCUAUGCUUCAGCCAUAGGCUCUAUCAUGUAUGCAAUGUUGUGUACCAGACCUGAUGUGUGCCUUGCUAUAAGUUUAGCAGGGAGGUACCAAAGUAAUCCAGGAGUGGAUCACUAGACAGCGGUCAAGAACAUCCUGAAAUACCUGAAAAGGACUAAGGAUAUGUUUCUCGUAUAUGGAGGUGACAAAGAGCUCAUCGUAAACGGUUACGUUGAUGCAAGCUUUGACACUGAUCCGGACGAUUCUAAAUCGCAAACCGGAUACGUGUUUACAUUAAACGGUGGAGCUGUCAGUUGGUGCAGUUCUAAACAAAGCGUUGUGGCGGGAUCUACAUGUGAAGCGGAGUACAUAGCUGCUUCGGAAGCAGCAAACGAAGGAGUCUGGAUGAAGGAGUUCAUAUCCGAUCUAGGUGUCAUACCUAGUGCAUCGGGUCCAAUGAAAAUCUUUUGUGACAAUACUAGUGCAAUUGCCUUGGCAAAGGAAUCCAGAUUUCACAAGAGAACCAAGCACAUCAAGAGACGCUUCAAUUCCAUCCGGGAUCUAGUCCAGGUGGGAGACAUAGAGAUUUGCAAGAUACAUACGGAUCUGAAUGUUGCAGACCCGUUGACUAAGCCUCUUCCACGAGCAAAACAUGAUCAGCACCAAGGCUCCAUGGGUGUUAGAAUCAUUACUGUGUAAUCUAGAUUAUUGACUCUAGUGCAAGUGGGAGACUGAAGGAAAUAUGCCCUAGAGGCAAUAAUAAAGUUAUUAUUUAUUUCCUUACAUCAUGAUAAAUGUUUAUUAUUCAUGCUAGAAUUGUAUUAACCGGAAACAUAAUACAUGUGUGAAUACAUAGACAAACAGAGUGUCACUAGUAUGCCUCUACUUGACUAGCUCGUUAAUCAAAGAUGGUUGUGUUUCCUAACCAUGAACAAAGAGUUGUUAUUUGAUUAACGAGGUCACAUCAUUAGUUGAAUGAUCUGAUUGACAUGACCCAUUCCAUUAGCUUAGCACCCGAUCGUUUAGUAUGUUGCUAUUGCUUUCUUCAUGACUUAUACAUGUUCCUAUAACUAUGAGAUUAUGCAACUCCCGUUUUCUGGAGGAACACUUUGUGUGCUACCAAACGUCACAACGUAACUGGGUGAUUAUAAAGGUGCUCUACAGGUGUCUCCAAAGGUAGAUGUUGGGUUGGCGUAUUUCGAGAUUAGGAUUUGUAACUCCGAUUGUCGGAGAGGUAUCUCUGGGCCCUCUCGGUAAUGCACAUCAUAUAAGCCUUGCAAGCAUUACAACUAAUGAGUUAGUUGAGAGAUGAUGUAAUACGGAACGAGUAAAGAGACUUGCCGGUGACGAGAUUGAACUAGGUAUUGGAUACUGACGAUCGAAUCUCGGGCAAGUAACAUACCGAUGACAAAGGGAACAACGUAUGUUGUUAUGCGGUCUGACCGAUAAAGAUCUUCGUAGAAUAUGUAGGAGCCAAUAUGGGCAUCCAGGUCCCGCUGUUGGUUAUUGACCGGAGAUUCGUCUCAGUCAUGUCUACAUUGUUCUCGAACCGUAGGGUCCGCACGCUUAACGUUACGGUGACAGUUAUUAUGAGUUUAUGCAUUUUGAUGUACCGAAGUUAGUUCGGAGUCCCGGAUGUGAUCACGGACAUGACGAGGAGUUUCGAAAUGGUCGAGACAUAAAGAUUGGUAUAUUGGACGGCUAUAUUCGGACACCGGAAGUGUUCCGGGUUAUUUCGGAUAAAACCGGAGUGCCGGAGGGGUUACCGGAACCCCCCGGGGAAGCAAUGGGCCUUAUUGGGCCUGAGGGGAGAGAGAGGGCAGCAGCCCAAGAGGUGGCGCGCCCCCCCUCAUGGGGAGUCCGAAUUGGACUAGGAGGGGGGGGGCGGCCCCCCUUUCCCUCUCCCUCUCCCUCUCUUUCCUUCCCCCUCAAGUCUCCUAGUUGGACUAGGAAAGGGGAGUCCUACUCCCACUAGGAGGAGGACUCCCCCUCCCCUUGGCGCGCCCCAUAGGGCCAGCCGGCCUCCCCCUUGCUCCUUUAUAUACGGGGGUAGGGGGGCACCCUAGAACACACAAGUUGAUCCACGUGAUCAUUCCUUAGCCGUGUGCGGUGCCCCCUGCCACCAUAUUCCACCUCGAUCAUAUCGUUGUAGUGCUUAGGCGAAGCCCUGCGUCGGUAGAACAUCAUCAUCGUCACCACGCCGUUGUGCUGACGGAACUCAUCCCCGAAGCUUUGCUGGAUCGGAGCCCAGGGAGCGUCAUCGAGCUGUACGUGUGCUAAGAACUUGGGGGUGCCGGAGUAACGGUGCUUGGAUCGGUCGGAUCGGGAAGACGUACGACUACUUCCUCUACGUUGCGUCAAUGCUUCCGCUUCGGUCUACGAGGGUACGUAGACAACACUCUCCCCUCUCGUUGCUAUGCAUCACCAUGAUCUUGCGUGUGCGUAGGAUUUUUUUUGAAAUUACUACGUUCCCCAACAGUCCAACCUCCGCAGCCGACUCUGAUCGGAGGGAAUCGAGGAUGGCCUGCUACUCCACUUGCAGAUCCCCGUCGCCAGCGUCCCCCACAUCCUCCUUCUCUGGCUCAUCCUCCUCGUCCUCCUCGUCCUCCAGAUCCACCGCAUCUGGAGGUAUCCCCACGGUGAUCCAGGCUUCGCGCCUAGCCCGGAUCUGCUCAAGGAGCUCGAGCCGGCGCUCCAGCGUCAAAAAGGGCUCGCUCCUCACUCGGCGGCGUGGGGGCAUGGCUACUAGGCUGACGGGCGGAGUGGAAAGUGGCGGCGGCGACAGAGAGGAGGAGGAAAAUGUGGAUGGAUGGUAGGGUUUCGGUGCCGCCGGUCGACUUAAAUAGCCGGGCAAUACACUAUGCGACCCGCCGGAGCUACGCCACGCGGUGCCACCGGUCCGACGGAGGAGACGAGCAUCAGAACGCUGGGUUUGAGGGCGUUUCCGGCUGGGACCCCUUCGUUAGUCCGACGUGGCGGGCGUGCCCUGGCGCGCCCGGGCGCCCCCAUAUCUGCCCCAUAUUUGGGCUGGAUAUGGGGGGUGUCGGUCAGCCUAGGCGUUUGAGAACCGUUUGAAGGCCCGUCUGGGUUAAAAAAUCGUGACCGGGCAGCGACCGGGCGGCCUGCCCAGGCGUAUGAGGCGGGUUUGAGAGGUCCAGCUGUAGAUGCUCUUAUGCAACUGCGGAUAAAAUCAAGGAAAACCUAUAACAUACAAAAUUACAUGCAUACAUACUACAAGUUAUAAUAAUUUAUCAAGUACAGGGAGAGUAAUUUUAUGUAAGCUAUGUACCAAAUCAAGAAAAAAUGCAUUUGAUGAGGGUUGAGCUGAACGAUGCUCAUCUAAGACCCAACACAAAGUAUGCAUGUGAUGCAUAUUAAUUGGUGAAUCCAUAAACAUGGAUGACAUAUUUGGCGAUAGAAUAACUAGUAAGCAAGCAAUAUAACAGUCAUAGGACAAACCAUGCAUAUAUUUUUAUAUUCUAGAACUAACUCCCUGCAAAACAAAUAUGCAGAUAAUUCUCUGGUUUACUUAUUUGCACCCCAAAAAUAAAGCAUGAUUCUAGAAACAUCGAUAGACUUUCUAGAUCUCUGUCAUGGUAUCUAAGUAAACUAAAAUAGGCAUAAAUACUAACAUAUAUUUGUAUUCAUUCAAGUGGCACAAAUUAGUAUUUGGUCUGAUGUUUGUUGUUAGACAAAAAAAGAAUAAUAAAUCAAGUGUUUUGAACAAAAACCAUAUUGUAUUCCUUUUACUUAAUGCUUCAAAUUAAGUGUAAUUAAAUUUCUCAUGAAUGAUAUUAAGAUUGUAUAAUAUUACUUUCUUAUAUAUUUAAUUAUGUCAUUAAAUAGUUGUUAUUGCAAUAAAAUUAGCAAGUCAAGAUAAUUUAUCAAAAUUAGUUAGUAUCAUAUGUUGAAAAGGAUAAUUUGUGAUUGUAAAGAUAAAAUAGUUUAGUCUAAAUAACACACCGCUUCAAACCAAAGUCAAGCAUUGCGUAUAAGUUAAAAUAACCAUUGUACUAAUUGAAAAAAUUAAUAUGAUUAGUUAAAUAAAAUAUUAGUGUAUAGGUAAAAACUUAAUUUUUUAAGUCGAUUAUGUGUUCCAGCAACAAUUCUAAUGAGUGGUUCCAUAGAGAAAGCCCGAGUUGAUUUUGAUCUAAGUUUCAUGAGUACAAAGGUGCUUAAUUGGAAAUAGAUAACUAAUUAUCGGUAGCAGUGAGACUUUAUUUUAAAUGAAUAUUAAAGGAGAAAUUAAAUAUAUGGUUGAGAAUAAGUAUGUAUAUAUAGUUUUGAUAUUUAUUAUUGGAUAUUUUAAACAAAAUAGAGAAUUUUGGUAGAGUGCAAAGUUAGUCGUCGGCUGUAGGACUGAUCAUCUGGCGGCUUACAGGGUUUGCAGAAUAGUGUUUGUACAAAAUAGAUCUUAUGUAUGCAUGCAUUUAUUUCUACACCAGGAGUGCAUUGCACACACGAUGAAUAGUAAAAUCAAAACAAAUAACAAAAAAGAAACAUUUUUAAACAUGCUAAUUUAUGACCAAUUGUUCAAACAAUGACUUUGGAUCUCAUGGGUCAAGUUCAUCAUUUAAGCUUAACUGAAGAGACUAUGCGUCAAAAUAUCACUCUGUGUAUGCCACAGGAUAAAGUACAUCCAAAAGGCUAGAGGUGUAGUGCACAACAAAUAUAGGUUAUGGAUAGAGUGUUUUUACCUUAUCUCUUGCCGUGACCUAGGUGGACUCCUCAAAAUGAUGUUUCUCAUGAUUUGCGUGAGAAAGAAAACAUCUAGACUUUGGUCAUGGGAGGAGUAUCUCUAACUAUUGGGGAACGUAGUAUUUCAAAAAAAAUACGAUCAAGGAAGAUCUAUCUAGGAGAAGCAUAGCAACGAGCGGGGAGAGUGUGUCCAUGUACCCUCAUAGACCGAAAGCGGAAGCGUUUAGUAACGCGAUUGAUGUAGUCGAACGUCUUCAUGAUCCAACCAAUCCAAGUACCGAACGUACGGCACCUCCGUGUUAAGCACACGUUCAGCACGAUGACGUAUCUCGAGCUCUUGAUCCAGUUGAGGAUGAGGAAGAGUUCUGUCAGCAUGACGGCGUGGCGACGGUGAUGAUGAAGUUACCGGCGCAGGGCUUCGCCUAAGCACUACGACGAUAUGACUGAGGUGUUAACUGUGGAGGGGGCGCCACACAUGGCUAGGAACAAUUGAUGUGUGUUCUAGGGGUGCCCUGCCGACGUAUAUAAAGGAGGGAUAGGGAGGGAGGCAGCCUAGGGCGCGAGGCCCCUAGUCCAAUUGGCCCCCCUACCAUAUUUGGACAAGGGGGAAAGGAAGGAGGGGGGAGGGGAAGGAAGUAGAGCCCUACUUCAUACUUUCCUUUUCCUCCUCUCUUUUUUCCUUUCGCCCCACGUGGUCGGCCCUAUAGGGGGCGCACCAGCCCCUUGUGGGCUGAUGUGUUCCCUUACUUGGCCCAUUAAGCCCAUAUCUUUGCCGGGGGUUUCCUGGAACCCCUUCCGGUGUCCAAAUACCAUCGUCGUAUAUAUGAAUCUUUACCUCUCGACCAUUUCGAGACUCCUCGUCAUGUCCAUGAUCUCAUAUGGGACUCCGGACAAACUUCGGUCAUCAAAUCACAUAACUCAUAAUACACAUCAUCAUCGAACGUUAAGCGUGCGGACCCUACGGGUUCAAGAACUAUGUAGACAUGACCGAGACACAUCUCCGGUCAAUAACCAAUAGCGGAACCUGGAUGAUCAUAUUGGCUCCUACAUAUUCUACGAAGAUCUUUAUCGGUCAAACCGCAUAACAACAUACAUCAUUCCCUUUGUCAUCGUUAUGUUACUUCCCCGAGAUUCGAUCGUCAGUAUCAUCAUACCUAGUUUAAUCUCGUUACUGGCAAGUCUCUUUACUCGUUCCGUAAUGCAUCAUCCUGCAACUAACUCAUUAGUCACAUUGCUUGCAAGGCUUAUAGUGAUGUGCAUUACCGAGAGGGCCCAGAGAUACCUCUCUGAUACACGGAGUGACAAAUCCUAAUCUCGAUCUAUGCCAACCCAACAAACACCUUCGGAGACACCUGUAGAGCAUCUUUAAAAUCACCCAGUUACGUUGUAACGUUUGAUAGCACACAAGGUGUUCCUCCGGUAUUCGGGAGUUGCAUAAUCUCAUAGUCAGAGGAACAUGUAUAAGUCAUGAAGAAAGCAAUAGCAAAAAAAACUCAACGAUCAUAAUGCUAAGCUAACGAAUGGGUCUUGUCCAUCACAUCAUUCUCUAAUGAUGUGAUCCCGUUCAUCAAAUGACAACACAUGUCUAUGGUCAGGAAACUUAACCAUCUUUGAUUAACGAGCUAGUCUAGUAGACAAUACUAGGGACACUUUAUUUUGUCUAUGUAUUUACACAUGUAUCAAGUUUCCGGUUAAUACAAUUCUAGCAUGAAUAAUAAACAUUUAUCAUGAUAUAAGGAAAUAAAAUAAUAACUUUAUUAUUGCCUCUAGGGCAUAUUUCACUAACAUGUAUGUGUCACAUUUUCUUGGGUACCCAAACUAUCUUGUUACUAGUAGCAACAAGGGUUUUGCGUGGAGUUGGAGUAGUCGAAGUGGUAGGGUGGUGCUAGACAACCCAUUUCUUUUCGGGUGCCAUCACAAUUGUUCAACCUUGAUUGUAGUUGGUUGGUUCUUAUUUGCCCUGUACAACUUGAUCGUAUUGUUGUAGCCGCGAGGAGUGUGAACAUUAUUUCCACAUGUACUUUGCAAUUGAAUGAAUCACAUCUAUUCACUAGUAGUACAAACUAAGUCUUGGGGUAUCAGUGAGCUUCUCAUGCAAUACCAUUAGCAUGAUAUUGACGAACAAACCCAACACUUCAUUAUUAGGACUUGACCUUGUUUACGUCAUGUCCAAUUGAACUUGUUGGUACCUUCCACACUUUUGUAGAUUCAUUGACUAAUGAUUUCCUUUAACCUAGCGUAACUUUUCUCAAGAAGUUCUUGGCUAGACAUGCGGUUAGAGGAACUCAUACUAACAUGAACAUUUGAGGAAGCAACAUGGAUGAUAAGGCAAUAGCAGUAAUCGCAUUGAUGGACUUGUAAGUAGGAUCAGGGUCAUUUGAAGUGACCUUAGUUGACACUUAUGGUGAAAUGAGAGACUCCCUAAGGUGUAUAUAAAUGCGAGCAACAUUCUUCUUCUUAAGAUUGGCAUAGAGAUCUUUGAGACACUCAUGAUUGAGCUUAAAGCAUUCAUCUCAAGGCAUAACCUCUCACGAGACACUCGAAGUUCUCUAUGAUGUUUAGAAAGAGUCUCAUGCACUUAUGUUUAUAAAUGGACGGAGUACUUUGUGUUCAUUUUCCUUCUUUGAAGUUGUAAUUUCUUGAUGAAAUGUACUCCCAUGUGGUUAAUAAAUUAAAGUAAUGGGAGUCUUGUAGGCACAUGACUAGGGCCUAUGCUUUAUUUUGUUCCAGACUCCCGGUUUCUCAUGAAUGGCCUCACAACAAAAUUCUUUGUUCGGACAACCGUCAUGUUGAAAAAUAUAUUUUCCUACAUGUAUACAAAUGUAAAUACCGGUGCACCAAAAAUUUAUAUUUAUCUGGUGCCGACAUGUGGUUGUUUAAUUCUAUAUAACUAAAGAUCUAAAUAGAUGAUUCACACUGAAACUAUUUUUUUCAACAUGCAAACAUACAUGGUUCCAUUCUGUUGUGCUAUUGUUUUUUUAGAAUUUAUACUGCAUAUUUUUUAAUUGACGCCGCUUAUGUUCUAUAUUUUAUUACUAUAUAUAAUCAAGUGCAAUAAAUGAUAUAGACUUUAAUUUUUAAUUAUCAUACUAAUAAUUUAAAUAUUCAUGUUAAAAUAUACUGCUGCCGUUGCUCGUAAUAAUAUGUGAGGUAACAUGUAGGUUUUUUAGAUUAAUCAUAUAGUUAUUUUUAAAGAGACGGGCUACCAGCUUCUAAAGCAUGGUAUGGAAGAUAUUUGCUCCUUCUAUUUCCUUACAAAUAAUAAGAAUGAACUGAGAAACUUGAGCAUCCUCCAUUGCUCUUGCUCUAUUCUAUGAACUCACAGGAGAACACGUGGUUUUACCCUCGCUCACAUUGUUCCCUGUAUGUAGGCAAAGUAUGAGUAGCGGUCACCGAAUACGCAACGGAAACUUAUCUAUGCGUUUUUCAUCCCUGAAAGCCACACGAUACUCAAGAAUCAAAGUAACUGCACAAGAAAUUAGGCCACCACAUUUUCUUUAUGAAAGGCAACAGAAAAUUUACAAGAGAACCUGUCAGCAUUGCAAACAAAACAAUGCAACAGGUCAAUAACACACCAUACAAAAACAGAUUACUCGCUCAAAGCUAUAUUACGCGUUACUGAACUGAACGUUGCUGCUCCGCACUACCGAGUACCCCGGCACAUAGCUAACGUCACCAUGGCACAUGAUCCCACAUGUCAUUGAUACAGCAAAGAUGCAAGAGUUGGAGAAUAUCAUACUCUGUUAUCCAUACCAUCCAUACCAGGCAACACCAUUAUAUCCUUCAGACAAAGUACCUGCCACACCCUCCUUUAAUUUAAGAUUAAAUAGACCCCUUCUACAGCUCUAACCAGCAAUAAUAUCGAUAAUCCAGCACACCGCAAAAGAAGAAUUCAGCAGAAAAUGGUUUAUAGCCUCAGCAGCAACAACAUCUCUAAGCUGCCAACUAGGUACUGUAUGUAGGAGUGUCUGAUAACAUGAUGCAUUCUCAAAAGAUGACCAGGUUCAACUACCCAACCAACUACAGCGGACACGGU